UGUGUUUCAUUAUUUGUGUUGUGUUGUGUGUUUGUUCCUGACAGUUAUGCAAUUAAAAACAAACAAAAAAGGUCACAGUGCAGUUAAACAACGCCUACUAUCUGCAGCUCUAGAUCACCCCCUAGCGGACACUCCAAGUCAUUUUCUCAGGCAGUUAUUCAAUACGAAGAGCAACACAUCGUUUUGUAAAUCAUAUCCAUUUUAACUCUUCUUUGUAUUUAUUUAUUUUUAAUAACUCCAAUUUAAUUAACAGUAUAUUUUAAUGAUCAUAUUGAUCUUUAAACCACUACAGAGACACGAUGCUUUCAUCUGCAGUUACACACGAGAGGAUUAUCAGUGCAGCGACACAACAGGACAACUCCUGAUCCUCUCAAUGCCUGAGCUGUUCUCAUCAGAGCAGUCACACAUGGGGAAUAUAACACAAGCUGUGCUAGACUUCAUGAAGAAGAAAGAUUAGAGUAUAUAUGGGAAAGCAGUCAGUUUAUUUUCUACAAAUCUACGUUGAGCUCUAUGACACUGAUUUGACCAAACUGUAAACAUAUUAUUACUAAACACACUCCAGUACAGCAGGUGGUGGUAUUAAGUUUUACGCUGCUCUCUGUAACCCGCCACACACGAAGAAGAAGAGGAAGAGGAAAAGGUCAUCCAGGUAUGUGUUGUUCUGUCUUUUCUGUGUCCAGUGUUUAUACUGCUUCAGGUAAAAUCACCCUAGUAAAAUGUACCCCCGCAGGUGCUUUGAUAACCCUGCAGCUGUUUGACUCUUCUCUGCUCUGUUUAGAGUGUUUGUGACGGAUGUUUUUCACUGAACUCAUGAUCUGCCGCUCCUUCAGAAACGAAAGUGAAAGUGUUUAGUUGCUGUGUCGCCAUUUUAAACAGACAGAAUCCACCAUUUACAACGCAGAACAGCUUUAAAUCUUUAAUGUCUUGACUAAACCUGUAAGCUUUAUGUGAAUGUGUGUAUGAUGUUAUUAUAAUCAAACGGAUGACGCUGUGAUUCUUCAUUAAUUUACUCGUGAUGAGCUUCUGGAUUUGAGUGUCUCAGCUGCUGAUCUAUUCCUGCAUUCAGCUGAAUUAUGAAGGCUGAUCAAUGACUGGAGAUCUGUGAUUGUUCAUCAGUUUCUGCUGAAGAUCAAACUCUUCAGGUCCACCAUGGGUAACUCACACACUGCUGGAGAUCAGGAUUUGUCGAAAAGAUGCAGUUCAGUUCAUCAGAAGAGAGCAGAAGCAGAGCCCAGCUGUGUGUCUAUGAAGAGUGACGCGUCUAUGCAUACACCAAUAGCAUUUAAGAGUGGAAACACACGACCUGCUGUCAGUGUGUAUAGAGAUGAUCAGAAUGGAGACCUGCAGCAGGAUUCACUCCAACCAGAACAUGAUGAACUUCAGAGAGUCAAAGAGCAGCACAAAACCAGCAUGAAGAACAAGUAUGAGAGAUUAUUUGAGGGAAU